CACAUGCAGUCGAGCGCCCUACUUCGGUAGGGAGCGGCGGACGGGUGAGUAACGCGUGGGAACGUCCCCUUUAGUUCAGAAUAGCCACUGGAAACGGUGAGUAAUACUGAAUACGCCCUUCGGGGGAAAGAUUUAUCGCUAAAGGAUCGGCCCGCGUUGGAUUAGCUAGUUGGUGGGGUAAAGGCCUACCAAGGCAACGAUCUAUAGCUGGUCUGAGAGGAUGAUCAGCCACACUGGGACUGAGACACGGCCCAGACUCCUACGGGAGGCAGCAGUGGGGAAUAUUGGACAAUGGGGGCAACCCUGAUCCAGCCAUGCCGCGUGAGUGAAGAAGGCCCUAGGGUUGUAAAGCUCUUUCAGAUGUGAGGAUGAUGACAGUAGCAUCAGAAGAAGCACCGGCUAACUUCGUGCCAGCAGCCGCGGAAAUACGAAGGGUGCUAGCGUUGUUCGGAAUUACUGGGCGUAAAGGGCGUGUAGGCGGAUGAUCAAGCUAGAGGUGAAAGCCCAGGGCCUAACCCUGGAACUGCCUUUAGAACUGAUUGUCUAGAAUCCCUAAGGGGAGUGUGGAAUUCCUAGUGUAGAGGUGAAAUUCCU
rnacentral:rRNA from 1 species